UACAGAGGGUGCGAGCGUUGUUCGGAAUUACUGGGCGUAAAGCGCGCGCAGGCGGCCCUUUAAGUCCGUCGGUCAAAUGCCGGGGCUCAACCCCGAUGCAUGCCGAGGAUACUGGAGGGCUGGAGACACGUAGAGGCAAGCGGAAUUCCGGGUGUAGCGGUGGAAUGCGUAGAGAUCUGGAAGAACACCGGAGGCGAAGGCGGCUUGCUGGGCGUGAUCUGACGCUGAGGCGCGAAAGCGUGGGGAGCGAACAGG
rnacentral:rRNA from 1 species